UUCUCAAACUUUAAAUGCGCAAGAUGAGAAGUGUUGCGUACCGAACUCUCUAAGAAAACAUCGGCUCUGUGGGCCACUUUUGGUAAGCAGAACUGGCGAUAUGGGAUGAACCAUAAGUUUGGUUAAGGAGUCAAACUCAUCGCUUAUAGACCCCACAAAAGGUGUUGGUUCAUCCAGACAGCAGGACGGUGGCCAUGGAAGUCGGAAUCCGCUAAGGAGUGUGUAACAACUCACCUGCCGAAUGAACUAGCCCUGAAAAUGGAUGACGCUUAAGCGGUGGUCCGACACCAAACCAUUUUUUGAAAAUACAAAAACACGCAAAAAAUGAGUAAGAGGGCGUGGUGGUCCGGUUUUGAAGGCAAAGACGCAAGUCUAGCUUGAACGGCCACUAGUGCAGAUCUUGGUGGUAGUAGCAAAUAUUCAAACGAGAACCUUGAAGGAUGAAGCGAGGAAGGGUUUCAUGCGAACAUUGAUUGGGCAUGAGUGAGUCGUUCCUAAGCCGGGUGGUAAUCGUUCUUCGAUCGGCGAAAGGGAAGCAGGUUAAAAUUCCUGCACACGGAUGUGAAAGUGGUGACACACAUUGAGAUGGAGACGUUAGCGGUGGCGCUGGGCAGAGUUUUCUUUUCUGUUUGACUUGUUCGCGCACCCUGUGGAAUCCGAUUAUCGGGAGAUACAGGUGCCAAUGGGCAGAGCGUCGGGGCAUCCCCGGCGUCCAGAACGCCGCCGUUAGCCCUUGAAAAUCUAUCUGCGAUGAUUUCACGCCGUGGCGUACCGAUAACCGCAUCAGGUCCUCAAGGUGAACAGCCUCUAUUCAAUAUGAACAAUGCAGGUAAGGGAAGUCGGCAAAAUAGACCCGUAACUUUGGGAAAAGGGUUGGCUCUAGUGGAGUGGAGGAUUUUUGGUGUUUGAUGAACUGGCCGCGUGAUAUACGGAGGGUUUGGUG
rnacentral:rRNA from 1 species